rnacentral:rRNA from 1 species
GCCCUUAUUCUGGGCAUCGCGCGAACCUGUCGAAAGCCAGGAGUGCCCGCAAGGGAGCACGGAGCCAGGUGGUGCAUGGCUGUCGUCAGCUCGUGUCGUGAGAGGUUGGGUUAAGUCCCGCAACGAGCGCAACCCUCACCCCUUGUUGCUACCAGGUAAAGCUGGGCACUCUAGGGGAACUGCCCCGGUCAACGGGGAGGAAGGCGGGGAUGACGUCAAGUCAUCAUGCCCCUUACGUCCUGGGCUACACACGUGCUACAAUGGCCGGUACAAAGGGAUGCCACACCGUGAGGUAGAGCUAAACCCAAAAAGCCGGUCUAAGUUCAGAUUGGAGUCUGCAACUCGACUCCAUGAAGGAGGAAUCGCUAGUAAUCGCGUAUCAGCACGACGCGGUGAAUACGUUCCCGGGCCUUGUACACACCGCCCGUCACACCACGAAAGCCAGCUGUACUCGAAGUCGCUGAGAAGGGC